AUUAGAAAUAUAGAAAAGGUAGUUGUCAUCUUUAAGAAGCAUCUAGAAAGAAAGCAGAGACAGCAUGAACCUAUGAUAUUCAGAAAACUGUGACUCAGUCUGAGCAUAUCACAAACCGAUCAUAUAAUUAAAAGCAUACUAAGGUACUGCAGUCAGAUUGAAUCUAAAAUCACCAGGCACUCGUAUACACAUAUACACACACACACACACACACACACACACACACACACACACACACACAGUUUGCCUAUGUAUGUUAGGUGGCUGUGGGCUUUGGCUGUGAAAUAGCCCAGGAGGGCUCAUGUGUUGAAGGCUUGGCCCCCAGCGGGUGGACCUCCUGGAGGCUGAUGGCACUGUGUGAGUUCUAAGCUAAGGGGUGGAUUAAUCCAUUGAUGGAUUCAUAAUCCGAUGGCAUUACUGGGUGGGGACAGAAGCUAGGAGGCUGGACCUAGUUCCUGAAAGGCCAUUAGUGGUGUGCCUUUGAAGGGCUCCUUCCUUCUCCCUCCCUCCUCUGCUCUCUCUUCCUCCUCCAGUCUCUCCUCCUCCUCUCUCUGCUUCCUGGCUGUCAUGAGGCCAGCAGUUUUCUCUACCACAGGCUUCUGUAACUUUAAGGCUCUGUUUUCCCCCAGGCCCGAAGCAUCAUGGGUUUAUAACUUCUGAAACCACAAGCCCAGCAAGGAAAAAACAACACAACAUAAAAAACCCCCAAACUUAGGCCCAUGCAAUCAAAACCAGAGCAAAGACCCAAGUGUUCACUGGCUGUGCGGAGAGAUUUUCAGCUUCAUUCAGAUGUUCAAGUUCACAGACAGAGCUCAGCGAGGCUGGCUAAUGACCCUCUGCUACUUUAAAGUGGCCUCCAGUAAACAACGCUGAGGAAUCAAGAACUCAGAAUAUAAUGGGAUCAUUUUCAGUCUCUUCGACAGAACUGAUGAGGAAAAAUGUAAAGAUUUCAAUUCUGCAAUGAAUCAAGGAACACAUGAAGAUUCUGUGGUGGAGCCCUCAAAACUCAGUUUCUGUAAAAUGCCAAUGCAACUAUUAUUAUAAUUAUCAUUGCUGUUCAUUGUGUGUGCUGUAUGCAUGCAGUAUGUGCAUACGGGAACAUGCACGUGUAGAUGCAUGUGUUUGGAGGUGACAUAGGGAUCUUCCUCUACUGCUUUCUACGGCAUGUUUUGUGACAGGUCUCUCACUGAACCCACAGCCCAUCGAAGAACUGGAUUGGCUGGCCAGUGAGCUCCAGAGAUCUGCCUGUCUCCACCCGCUAGUCAGGCUUUUACAUGAGGAUCCAAACUCAGGUCCUCACACUUGUGUAGCGGGUACUCUGGUGAUGGAGCAGCCUCACCAGCCCCUACCUAUUUCCUAAUUAAAGUGAGGACAGGUGGGAUACAGGAGGGACACAAUCAUGUUUGGCUCCAGAAUUAGGCAGGGAGUUCUUUAAGAUGCCAAAGAAUCCGUGGCCUGUUUAAAUGCAAUAACAGUUUCCAAGCCAUAUGAAAUUAUCCCUUUUUAUUUCACACAAACCUUUUUUAAAAAAAAAACUCUAGUAUUUAUUCUGUAAAAGUCACUCUUUAAACCAUAAACACUGUGCCCAUGAUUG